rnacentral:misc_RNA from 1 species
GAUGAAGAACGUAGCGAAAUGCGAUACUUGGUGUGAAUUGCAGAAUCCCGUGAACCAUCGAGUCUUUGAACGCAAGUUGCGCCCGAAGCCAUUAGGCCGAGGGCACGCCUGCCUGGGCGUCACACGUCGUUGCCCCCCCAUCUACUCCUUCGGGAUUGCGGGGGGCGGAUGAUGGCCUCCCGUGCGCCUCGUCGCGCGGUUGGCAUAAAUGCCAAGUCCUCGGCGACACACGCCACGACAAUCGGUGGUUGCGAAACCUCGGUUGCCCGUCGUGUGCGGUCGUCGCGCAUCGAGGGCUCGAAAAAAUUGCCGGGCUCCGGCUCGGCUUUCAACGCGACCCCAGGUCAGGCGGGGUUACCCGCUGAAUUUUAGCAUAUCAAUAAGCGGAGGA